rnacentral:rRNA from 1 species
UACGUAGGGUGCAAGCGUUAAUCGGAAUUACUGGGCGUAAAGCGUGCGCAGGCGGUUUUGUAAGUCUGUCGUGAAAUCCCCGGGGCUCAACCUGGGAAUUGCGAUGGAGACUGCAAGGCUAGAAUCUGGCAGAGGGGGGGUAGAAUUCCACGUGUAGCAGUGAAAUGCGUAGAGAUGUGGAGGAACACCGAUGGCGAAGGCAAUCCCCUGGGCCUGCACUGACGCUCAUGCACGAAAGCGUGGGGAGCAAACAGG